GACGAACGCUGGCGGCGUGCUUAACACAUGCCAGUCGUACGGUAAGGCCCUUUCGGGGCUACACGAGCGGCGAACGGGGGAGUAACACUUGCGUAACCUGCCCACAACUUUGGGAUAACGCUAGGAAACUGGUGCCAAUACUGGUAAUGUGCCCUUGCUGCAUGGUGGGGGUUGGAAAGUUCCGGCGGUUGUGGAUGGACUGGCGGCCUAUCAGCUUGCUGGUGGGGUUGUGGGCUACCAAGGCGGCGACGGGUAGCCGGACUGAGGGGGUGACCGGCCACCUUGGGACUGAGGUACGGCACAGACUCCUACGGGAGGCAGCAGUGGGGAAUAUUGCACAAUGGGCGCAAGCCUGAUGCAGCAACGCCGCGUGCGGGAUGACGGCCUUCGGGUUGUAAACCGCUUUCAGCAGGGACGAAGCUUUUUGUGACGGUACCUGCAGAAGAAGCACCGGCUAACUACGUG
rnacentral:rRNA from 1 species